rnacentral:rRNA from 1 species
AUUGAACGCUGGCGGCAGGCCUAACACAUGCAAGUCGAGCGAGCGGCGGACGGGUGAGUAAUGUCUGGGAAACUGCCUGAUGGAGGGGGGUAACUACUGGAAACGGUAGCUAAUACCGCAUACCAUCAGAUGUGCGCAGAUGGGAUUAGCGCGUGGGUGGGGUAACGGCUCACCUAGGCGACGAUCCCUAGCUGGUCUGAGAGGGUGACCAGCCACACUGUAACGGAGACACGGUCCAGACUCCUACGGGAGGCAGCAGUUGGGAAUAUUGCACAAUGGGCGCGAGCCUGAUGCAGCCAUGCCGCGUGUGUGAAGAAAGCCUUCGGGUUGUAAAGCACUUUCAGCGGGGGGGCGUUACCCGCAGAAGAAGCACCGGCUAACUCCGUGCCAGCAGCCGCGGUAAUAC